CCUGGGAUGACUCAGACACUUCGAAGUAAAUUGGAGAAAUCCAGCGUCAUUCAGAAGCCCACUCGGUCCACGAGGUGAGAGUUUGUAGCAACGUCUGUCAGUGACUCUGAAGAUGCUAUUUCAUGGAGUGUCAACACUUAAUCUGACUCCAGUUAAACCGUGACACUGGUUGCAUACAACUGGCAAAAUAAAUAGUGUAAAGGUGGCAUGAGUUAAAACUACUGGC